CUUUAUCCAUUAGUUGUGAUACAAUUAAGAUCUUCAGGGCACCUGAAGCCCAACUUGCUAAUUACGACAAUGGACAGUCAUUAAGGGCCAUGGCUUCCACAGUGGGAACCUAUACAGACCAGGUGCAAUGGUUUGUCAAGCCCCUACAUUUGUCCUUGCUCUGACUGAAGUAGGCCUUGGUGCAGAUGCUCCAGAUCCACCUGCAGAACUCUGACAUACUGCACAGACACAGGAACCAUGUGCUCAAAGACUAGCAUUUUUUUCAGCUACAGGGCUCACUUUGGCUAGUCCCAGUAUCAAGUGGUACCAGAAGCCAGGAUGCAGCAUCUUUUCAAGGAGCAUGUCCUCAGGGAGUUGUUAAAUGAGUUCAGUUACUGUACCUCCCUGGACAAGUGGAAGAUGCAUGAGGCCAAAGAGACCAGACAAUGCUAUGCUGAGGUGAAAGAUAGCCAAGACAGAUCUCUAUGCCCAUGACUUUGAGAUUAUAUCCCAAUGCCGUGGAACAGACUCAUUCUGUGGGCCUCCCCCCAGGGACUGCCAAUUCUUUUCCCUACAGUUUUCCACAAGUCCUAGUUAAUAAGCAGUCUCAUUGCACAUGGUUUUUAAAGGUAUUUUGUUUGUCUCUGCUGUACAUUAUGAUUGAUGUAAACUCGGUCUCCCAAUAAACUCAUUGUUUAA